rnacentral:rRNA from 1 species
CCCCUGUGUGGAUGACGGUACCAUCAGAAGAAGCACCGGCUAACUACGUGCCAGCAGCCGCGGUAAUACGUAGGGUGCGAGCGUUAAUCGGAAUUACUGGGCGUAAAGCGUGCGCAGGCGGAUUGUUAAGCAAGACGUGAAAUCCCCGGGCUUAACCUGGGAAUGGCGUUUUGAACUGGCAGUCUAGAGUGCGUCAGAGGGGGGUGGAAUUCCACGUGUAGCAGUGAAAUGCGUAGAGAUGUGGAGGAACACCGAUGGCGAAGGCAGCCCCCUGGGAUGACACUGACGCUCAUGUACGAAAGCGUGGGUAGCAAACAGGAUUAGAUACCCUGGUAGUCCACGCCCUAAACGAUGUCAACUGGUUGUUGGGGGAGUGAAAUCCCUUAGUAACGAAGCUAACGCGUGAAGUUGACCGCCUGGGGAGUACGGUCGCAAGAUUAAAACUCAAAGGAAUUGACGGGGACCCGCACAAGCGGUGGAUGAUGUGGAUUAAUUCGAUGCAACGCGAAAAACCUUACCUACCCUUGACAUGUCCGGAAUCCUGCAGAGAUGCGGGAGUGCCCGAAAGGGAAUCGGAACACAGGUGCUGCAUGGCUGUCGUCAGCUCGUGUCGUGAGAUGUUGGGUUAAGUCCCGCAACGAGCGCAACCCUUAUCAUUAGUUGCUACGCAAGGGCACUCUAAUGAGACUGCCGGUGACAAACCGGAGGAAGGUGGGGAUGACGUCAAGUCCUCAUGGCCCUUAUGGGUAGGGCUUCACACGUCAUACAAUGGUCGGUACAGAGGGUUGCCAAGCCGCGAGGCGGGGCCAAUCCCAGAAAGCCGAUCGUAGUCCGGAUUGUUCUCUGCAACUCGAGAGCAUGAAGUCGGAAUCGCUAGUAAUCGCGGAUCAGCAUGUCGCGGUGAAUACGUUCCCGGGUCUUGUACACACCGCCCGUCACACCAUGGGAGUGGAAUCUGGCAGAAGUAGGUAGCCUAACCGCAAGGAGGGCGCUUACCACGCUGGGUUUCAUGACUGGGGUGAAGUCGUAACAAGGUAACCGAAUCUCUGAAGAUCCGCGCGACCAUCCGCC